GUCCACGCCGUAAACGAUGUCUACUAGUUGUCGGGGGACUUGAUCCUUUGGUAACGAAGCUAACGCGAUAAGUAGACCGCCUGGGGAGUACGGCCGCAAGGUUAAAACUCAAAUGAAUUGACGGGGGCCCGCACAAGCGGUGGAGCAUGUGGUUUAAUUCGAAGCAACGCGAAGAACCUUACCUACUCUUGACAUCCUGCGAACUUGGUAGAGAUACCUUGGUGCCUUCGGGAACGCAGUGACAGGUGCUGCAUGGCU
rnacentral:rRNA from 1 species